ACGGUUCCGAGUGGAAGGGCCGUGGCUUACCGGAUAAAAGCUACCCCGGGGAUAACAGGCUAGUCUGGUCCAAGAGUCCACAUCGACGACCAGGCUCGGCACCUCGAUGUCGGCUCAUCGCAUCCUGGGGCUGGAUAAGGUCCCAAGGGUUGGGCUGUUCGCCCAUUAAAGCGGUACGCGAGCUGGGUUCAGACCGUCGUGAGACAGGUCGGUCUCUAUCCGCUGUGGGCGUAAGGGAUUUGAGAGGAGCUGCUCCUAGUACGAGAGGACCGGAGUGGACAGACCUCUGGUGUGCCAGUUGUCAUGCCAAUGGCAUCGCUGGGUAGCUACGUCUGGCAAGGAUAACCGCUGAAAGCAUCUAAGUGGGAAGCCUGCCUCAAGAUAAGAUCCCUCUGUCCGUAAGGACUUAAGAUCGCAGAUAGACUAUCUGUUACAUAGGCAGCGUGUGUAAGCACAGUAAUGUGUUGAGCUAAGCUGUACUAAUGAUUGAGGGCUGAUCCU
rnacentral:rRNA from 1 species